CCUACGGGGAGGCAGCAGUAGGGAAGAUUCCACAAUGGGAGAAAGCAUGAUGGAGCAACGCCGAGUGGGUGAAGAAGGUCUUCGGAUCGUAAAACCCUGUUGUUAGAGACGAAAGUGCGUGAGAGUAACUGUUCACGUUUCGACGGUAUCUAACCAGAAAGCCACGGCUAACUACGUGCCAGCAGCCGCGGUAAUACGUAGGUGGCAAGCGUUAUCCGGAUUUAUUGGGCGUAAAGGGAACGCAGGCGGUCUUUUACGCCUGAUGUGAAAGCCUUCGGCUUAACCGGCGUAGUGAAUUGGAGACUGGGAGGCUUGAGUGCAGAAGAGGAGAGGGGAACUCCAGGUGUAGCGGUGAAAUGCGGAGAUAUAUGGAAGAACACCAGUGGCGAAGGCGGCUCUCUGGUCUGUAACUGACGCUGAGGUUCGAAAGCGUGGGUAGCAAACAGGAUUAGAUACCCCAGUAGUC
rnacentral:rRNA from 1 species